rnacentral:rRNA from 1 species
CGAAUGCUGACAUAAGUAACGAUAAAGCGGGUGAAAAGCCCGCUCGCCGGAAGACCAAGGGUUCCUGUCCAACGUUAAUCGGGGCAGGGUGAGUCGACCCCUAAGGCGAGGCCGAAAGGCGUAGUCGAUGGGAAACAGGUUAAUAUUCCUGUACUUGGUGUUACUGCGAAGGGGGGACGGAGAAGGCUAUGUUGGCCGGGCGACGGUUGUCCCGGUUUAAGCGUGUAGGCUGGUUUUCCAGGCAAAUCCGGAAAAUCAAGGCUGAGGCGUGAUGACGAGGCACUACGGUGCUGAAGCAACAAAUGCCCUGCUUCCAGGAAAAGCCUCUAAGCAUCAGGUAACAUCAAAUCGUACCCCAAACCGACACAGGUGGUCAGGUAGAGAAUACCAAGGCGCUUGAGAGAACUCGGGUGAAGGAACUAGGCAAAAUGGUGCCGUAACUUCGGGAGAAGGCACGCUGAUAUGUAGGUGAAGCGACUUGCUCGUGGAGCUGAAAUCAGUCGAAGAUACCAGCUGGCUGCAACUGUUUAUUAAAAACACAGCACUGUGCAAACACGAAAGUGGACGUAUACGGUGUGACGCCUGCCCGGUGCCGGAAGGUUAAUUGAUGGGGUCAGCGCAAGCGAAGCUCUUGAUCGAAGCCCCGGUAAACGGCGGCCGUAACUAUAACGGUCCUAAGGUAGCGAAAUUCCUUGUCGGGUAAGUUCCGACCUGCACGAAUGGCGUAAUGAUGGCCAGGCUGUCUCCACCCGAGACUCAGUGAAAUUGAACUCGCUGUGAAGAUGCAGUGUACCCGCGGCAAGACGGAAAGACCCCGUGAACCUUUACUAUAGCUUGACACUGAACAUUGAGCCUUGAUGUGUAGGAUAGGUGGGAGGCUUAGAAGUGUGGACGCCAGUCUGCAUGGAGCCGACCUUGAAAUACCACCCUUUAAUGUUUGAUGUUCUAACGUUGACCCGUGAUCCGGGUUGCGGACAGUGUCUGGUGGGUAGUUUGACUGGGGCGGUCUCCUCCUAAAGAGUAACGGAGGAGCACGAAGGUUGGCUAAUCCUGGUCGGACAUCAGGAGGUUAGUGCAAUGGCAUAAGCCAGCUUGACUGCGAGCGUGACGGCGCGAGCAGGUGCGAAAGCAGGUCAUAGUGAUCCGGUGGUUCUGAAUGGAAGGGCCAUCGCUCAACGGAUAAAAGGUACUCCGGGGAUAACAGGCUGAUACCGCCCAAGAGUUCAUAUCGACGGCGGUGUUUGGCACCUCGAUGUCGGCUCAUCACAUCCUGGGGCUGAAGUAGGUCCCAAGGGUAUGGCUGUUCGCCAUUUAAAGUGGUACGCGAGCUGGGUUUAGAACGUCGUGAGACAGUU